rnacentral:rRNA from 2 species
GGCGCUCGAAGCGUGUCGUGGUAUUUCGCGUAUUGUAAUUUCAACACGAGCGGGGUCAAAUCCUUUGCAGACGACUUAGCUGUGCGAAACGGUCCUGUAAGCAGUAGAGUAGCCUUGUUGUUACGAUCUGCUGAGGGUAAGCCGUCCUUCGCCUCGAUUU